rnacentral:rRNA from 1 species
GAUUAACGCUGGCGGCGUGCAUAACACAUGCAAGUCGAACGAUGAAACUUUAAUGACCCCUUCGGGGAGAAUUAAAGCGGAUUAGUGGCGAACGGGUGAGUAACGCGUGAGUAACCUGCCUUACACAAGGGGAUAGCCUUUGGACACGAAGAAUAAUACCCUAUAAAACCAUAAAAGCACAUGCAAUUAUGGUCAAAGUGAUAGCGGUGUAAGAUGGACUUGCGUCUGAUUAGCUAGUUGGUGAGAUAAAAGCCCACCAAGGCAACGAUCAGUAGCCGGCUUGAGAGAGUGUACGGCCGCAUUGGGACUGAGACACGGCCCAGACGCCUACGGGAGGCAGCAGUGGGGAAUUUUGCACAAGGGGGGAAACCCUGAUGCAGCGACGCCGCGUGAUUUAGAAGGCCUUCGGGUUGUAAAAAUCUUUUGUAUAGGAAGAAAAUGACAGUACUAUACGAAUAAGGUCCGGCUAAUUACGUG